rnacentral:lncRNA from 1 species
CUCCUGGCCUCUGGGGCGGGACAAAAAAGGGGGGUCCCUCCCAGGUGCUGAACGUCGGCAGGUUUUUCCAUGAUCUGAAGCUCAGAGUUCGAGCAUCUGUCCCCAGACAUAGCUCGAAGGUUGAGCUCAUCCCUCGCCCAACACAACCCUCUGCUUAGGACAGUGGAGCUGGGGCGAGCGUCCCGCAAUGUUGGUCCCCCGUCCUGUCAAUCAGGAAGGACUUCCCGGAGGAAGGGAUGGCGGCGGAGCGGGGGAAUGGGGGGAUGACUUUGAACUUUGAUCUUCUGGCCUCCACCACCGCAGUGCUUGGGCUCCAGGUGUAUGGUACCACACGCGGUUUAAAUUUAAUCAGAUACAAGCCCCCGCUGGACUGAGAUCGCCCUUCCAGAGGCCCCCAGCCCACUUUACAGAGCAGAGAAUCGAGUCCGGCGAGGUCAAAAAGGCUGAUCUAAAAGAAACGGGGUUCUAAUCAAUGUAUCUACGUGUAAACCGAGCCUCUUGCAUGCAGGAGAUACAAUGCAGGGCAUAAAUGAACAGGUCCUCGGCUUCCUGGGGGCUUAUAGUCUAGAGACGUGUGAAAUUUCAUCUGCAACUGUUUGCUCAGUGUGUCAUCCCAUCCCAAAUCAAAUGACGGAUGUUGGAUGUCACAGAAAUGACAGGAGUGGUACAGCAACCAGCAGCAGGCUCCUGGCAGAGGCCUCUGUGUGUCUGGGAUGAUGGGGACCCUUCAGCCUUCAGAAACAACUCUACCUGGCCCAGACAGAAGAUUCUGGGAUCAAUGGCAUCACAGAGCUUUGGGAGAGCAUGGAGUUCAUGGAGGCAGCUCCCAGCAUACAGUAGGUGCAGGCAAGCAGUGAUGUCCUUCCUUCCCGUUUGGCAAGGUUGUGACUCAAUGAUCUUCCAGUCAGAGGAAAAGCUGGACAAAGCCGAGCCUGUCACACACAGGCAUGGAGUGACCCCCAAGGCUCCAGAUCUCUG